rnacentral:rRNA from 1 species
GAGUUUGAUCCUGGCUCAGAUUGAACGCUGGCGGCAUGCCUUACACAUGCAAGUCGAACGGCAGCAUGAUCUAGCUUGCUAGAUUGAUGGCGAGUGGCGAACGGGUGAGUAAUACAUCGGAACGUGCCCUGUAGUGGGGGAUAACUAGUCGAAAGAUUAGCUAAUACCGCAUACGACCUGAGGGUGAAAGUGGGGGACCGCAAGGCCUCAUGCUAUAGGAGCGGCCGAUGUCUGAUUAGCUAGUUGGUGGGGUAAAGGCCCACCAAGGCGACGAUCAGUAGCUGGUCUGAGAGGACGAUCAGCCACACUGGGACUGAGACACGGCCCAGACUCCUACGGGAGGCAGCAGUGGGGAAUUUUGGACAAUGGGCGAAAGCCUGAUCCAGCAAUGCCGCGUGUGUGAAGAAGGCUCGGUGUAG